rnacentral:lncRNA from 1 species
CCCGCUCGGCCUGCUCGCCACCGCCGGCCGCGCUCGCCCUGCUCGCCCCGCCGGCCGCACCAGGCCUACACAAAAGCUGGGCACAACAAAUCCUGGUUAAAAGAUACACAUGAUUGAAAAAAAUGCAUUUAUUGUCAAACUAACCUUUGCAUCCAAACACCACCAAAGGCUAGAGUUAGUUCAUGGUUAGACUAAAGUUAGAAACUAACUCUAACCUCUAGCCAAGUUAGAGUAUCCAAACAGGGC